UACGAAGGGGGCUAGCGUUGUUCGGAAUAACUGGGCGUAAAGCGCACGUAGGCGGAUUUGUAAGUCAGGGGUGAAAUCCCGGGGCUCAACCUCGGAACUGCCUUUGAUACUGCAAGUCUGGAGUCCGGAAGAGGUGAGUGGAAUUCCUAAUGUAGAGGUGAAAUUCGUAGAUAUUAGGAAGAACACCAGUGGCGAAGGGGGCUCACUGGUCCGGUACUGACGCUGAGGUGCGAAAGCGUGGGGGGCAAACAGG
rnacentral:rRNA from 1 species